ACACGACCGUACCGCAAACCGACACUGGUGCGCGAGAUGAGUAUUCUAAGGCGCUUGAGAGAACUCAGGAGAAGGAACUCGGCAAAUUGACACCGUAACUUCGGAAGAAGGUGUGCCUUUAGUAGGUGAACCAUUUACUUGGGGAGCCCAAUGAGGCUGCAAAAAAUCGGUGGCUGCAACUGUUUAUUAAAAACACAGCACUCUGCUAAGACGAAAGUCGACGUAUAGGGUGUGACGCCUGCCCGGUGCUGGAAGAUUAAAUGAUGGGGUGCAAGCUCUUGAUUGAAGUCCCAGUAAACGGCGGCCGUAACGAUAACGGUCCUAAGGUAGCGAAAUUCCUUGUCGGGUAAGUUCCGACCUGCACGAAUGGCGUAAUGAUGGCCACACUGUCUCCUCCUGAGACUCAGCGAAGUUGAAAUGUUUGUGAUGAUGCAAUCUCCCCGCGGAAAGACGGAAAGACCCCAUGAACCUUUACUGUAGCUUUGUAUUGGACUUUGAACAGAUCUGUGUAGGAUAGGUGGGAGGCUUUGAAGUGUGGUCGCUAGAUCGCAUGGAGCCAACGUUGAAAUACCACCCUGGUGUGUUUGAGGUUCUAACCUAGGUCCAUUAUCUGGAUCGGGGACAGUGCAUGGUAUGCAGUUUGACUGGGGCGGUCUCCUCCCAAAGUGUAACGGAGGAGUUCGAAGGUGCGCUAGGUACGGUCGGACAUCGUGCUAAUAGUGCAAUGGCAUAAGCUGCUUAACUGCGAGACUGACAAGUCGAGCAGAUGCGAAAGCAGGACAUAGUGAUCCGGUGGUUCUGUAUGGAAGGGCCAUCGCUCAACGGAUAAAAGGUACUCUGGGGAUAACAGGCUGAUACCGCCCAAGAGUUCAUAUCGACGGCGGUGUUUGGCACCUCGAUGUCGGCUCAUCUCAUCCUGGGGCUGUAGCCGGUCCCAAGGGUAUGGCUGUUCGCCAUUUAAAGAGGUACGUGAGCUGGGUUUAAAACGUCGUGAGACAGUUUGGUCCCUAUCUUCCGUGGGCGCUGCAGAUUUGAGGAAGCCUGCUCCUAGUACGAGAGGACCGGAGUGGACGAACCUCUGGUGUAUCGGUUGUCACGCCAGUGGCAUUGCCGAGUAGCUAAGUUCGGUAGAGAUAACCGCUGAAAGCAUCUAAGCGGGAAACUCGUUUCAAGAUUAGAUCUGCCGGGGCCUUGAGCCCCCUAAAGAGUCGUUCAAGACCAGGACGUUGAUAGGUCAGGUGUGGAAGC
rnacentral:rRNA from 1 species